rnacentral:rRNA from 1 species
AUGGCUCUACAUGCGUUGAGAAGUGUGAGCACGUCAAGAUAUUCUCCAUCUAGGAAUCCUCGUAUAUAUUCACACAUACGUUAUUCUUUAAAUCUGCUUGGGGGUCAAACUCAGGUGAACGGACACAUGUGCAUGAUUAUUAGUAUCCAAAGUGCCUUUAGAAGCUGUUUACUUCUGAUGACAUUGCAUAAUGAGAGGUGUGACAGGAGUAUUUGUUGUAUUUUACCUGACUGGUAUUACUGCAACUAUUAA